rnacentral:rRNA from 1 species
GACGAACGCUGGCGGCGUGCCUAAUACAUGCAAGUCGAACGCAGUGGGGACGGGUGAGUAACAUGUGGGUAACCUCCCAUCAGAGGGGAUAACACUUGGAAACAGGUGCUAAACCGAUACUGAUGGAUGGACCCGCGGUGCAUUAGCUAGCUGGUGAGGUAACGGCUCACCAAGGCCACGAUGCAUAGCCGGCCUGAGAGGGUGACCGGCAACACUGGAACUGAGACACGGCCCAGACUCCGACGGGAGGCAGCAGUGGGGAAUAUUGGGCAAUGGGCGAAAGUCUGACCGAGCAACGCCGCGUGAGUGAAGAAGGUUUUCGGGUCGUAAAGCUCUGUUAUUGGAGAGGCGGUAUCUAACCAGAAAGCCACGGCUAACUACGUGCCAGCCGCCGCGGUAAUAC